AUACGAAGGUCCCAAGCGUUAUUCGGAAUCACUGGGCGUAAAGAGUGCGUAGGCGGUUUGGUAAGUCAGGUGUGAAAUCCCGAAGCUCAACUUCGGAACUGCAUCCGAUACUGCCAGACUAGAGUAAUGGAGAGGCAGGUGGAAUUCUCGGUGUAGCAGUGAAAUGCGUGGAUAUCGAGAGGAAGACCAAUGGCGAAGGCAGCCUGCUGGACAUUUACUGACGCUGAGGUACGAAGGCUAGGGGAGCGAAAGGGAUUAGAAACCCCAGUAGUCC
rnacentral:rRNA from 1 species